AUUGAACGCUGGCGGCAUGCUUUACACAUGCAAGUCGAACGGUAACAGGCCUUCGGGUGCUGACGAGUGGCGAACGGGUGAGUAAUGCAUCGGAACGUACCCAGAGGUGGGGGAUAACGCAGCGAAAGCUGUGCUAAUACCGCAUGUGAUCUGAGGAUGAAAGCGGGGGACCGAGCAGCAAUGUUUGGCCUCGCGCCUUUGGAGCGGCCGAUGUCGGAUUAGCUAGUUGGUGGGGUAAAGGCCUACCAAGGCGACGAUCCGUAGCUGGUCUGAGAGGACGACCAGCCACACUGGGACUGAGACACGGCCCACACUCCUACGGGAGGCAGCAGUGGGGAAUUUUGGACAAUGGGCGCAAGCCUGAUCCAGCGAUGCCGCGUGCGGGAAGAAGGCCUUCGGGUUGUAAACCGCUUUUGGCAGGAACGAAACGGUGUCCGCUAAUACCGGGCGCUAAUGACGGUACCUGCAGAAUAAGCACCGGCUAACUACGUG
rnacentral:rRNA from 1 species